UACGUAGGGUGCGAGCGUUAAUCGGAAUUACUGGGCGUAAAGCGUGCGCAGGCGGUUUGGUAAGACAGAUGUGAAAUCCCCGGGCUUAACCUGGGAAUUGCGUUGGAGACUGCAAGGCUGGAGUCUGGCAGAGGGGGGUAGAAUUCCACGUGUAGCAGUGAAAUGCGUAGAGAUGUGGAGGAACACCGGUGGCGAAGGCGGCGACCUGGGUAGAUACUGACGCUGAGGCGCGAAAGCGUGGGGAGCAAACAGG
rnacentral:rRNA from 1 species